CUCACCGCCAACGUCCCUGCUGUGGCUGGUGUCGCCACCGCGGAAGCCACCUGCGUCACCACUGGAGGAAGGGAUAUUCGCACCGUAGCUGCGGUUUAUGCCGCCAGAAUUGCCCUGCCACCGCCAGAAUUUCUGGUCGCUGCCGUUCUGUGACUGUCAUAAGUUACGUUAUCGCUGCCGGAGAAGCUGUUGUGGUUGUCGGAACCAUCACCGGAGCUCCUGCAGUUUGAUUUAGUCUUUAAUCCUUUCUCACGGGUCAAGCUCCGAUUGUUGCGGGUCACGAUUUAAGCUGCCGCCGAAUCGGUUCGAAGACCGCCGCUGUUCGGUUCAGCCAUCUUUUCUUUGUUUCGGAGUUAGAAUCCGGUUUGUUUAUGCUGCUUGUAGCUGUUUCUGCUUUCGAGAAAGAGCAAGCAGGGCCGGGGUUCAGAUUGUCAGUGAUUUCGGGCUGAGAAAAAAGGAAUCAGUUAACGAGUUUGGGUGAUAGUUUUGAUUCACCGAGGAUAUGGGCGCAGAAGUUACGAAGAAUUUAUUUAGUUAUUGUUGUGAUGUUCUGUAUUGCUUUGGAUUAUUAAUUAUUGUACCCUCGCCUUUAUCUUGAUAUAUUCUAUAAGAGGGAUAGGGAUUGUAUUGGCUAAUGUCUGUAAUAUUAGUUAUAUAUAUGUAUGUAUAUAUGGAUGUACUCUUUAUGAGUUUUCGUAAGUUGUAUGGUUUCUUUGGAUGUACGUUAUCGAACGAAAGUAUUUUUGGGAGCGGUAUUGCGGUUUAAAAUUUUUAAACAGGCUCAUAUUUUUAGUAUUAAAUAGUAUAAGUGUCGUCGUAAUGUCCGAGCUAUCAGAGUUGCGCAGCCGGA